rnacentral:rRNA from 1 species
CCCUUAGAUGUUCUGGGCCGCACGCGCGCUACACUGACUGACUCAACGAGUGUACAACCUGCUUCGACAGAAGUGGGUAAUCUUUUGAAAUUCAGUCGUGAUGGGGCUAGAUUAUUGCAACUAUUAAUCUUCAACGAGGAAUGCCUAGUAAGCGCGAAUCAUCAGUUCGCGUUGAUUACGUCCCUGCCCUUUGUACACACCGCCCGUCGCACCUACCGAUUGAAUGGUCCGGUGAAAUCCUCGGAUCGAGCCGUGGGGCAACUCCGGUUCGAGAAGUUGAUUAAACCUUACCAUUUAGAGGAAGGUGAAGUCGUAACA